ensembl:lncRNA
AUGAGAAGUCAUGGAAAGCUUGUGUUUUACAAAAUAAAAGAGCUAUUUUCUGCUUUUUAUUUACUCUGGCAUAGAGCACAUUGCAUGGCAUCCAUAUAAUUUCUUUUAUUUCUUCUUCUUGGUUUUUUUUUUUGUUUUUUUUUUGUUUGGUUUUUUUUUUUUUUUUUUACAAAAGACACAUGUAUCAAUGCUGUGUUGCUAAACCUACAAUUACUUGCUUCUACCGUACACAUAUCCAGCACCUCCUACCUGCAUUGCUCUGUUAUAUGGCCUCUACGUAAACAGCACUGCUCGUUUUAUUUCUCUUUCAGCAUGUCUAUGGAUAGCAAGAUUAUUUUCCAUGCAACAGCAACAGACAUGCAUUUCUCACUUCUUAUAAAGGAGUGACAGUGACAUAGACGGAAUACACACCAGCUGCAGUCAUAAAAAAAAGGACUUCACAUGUCCCAGUGCCCAGUGAGCCCAGCCCAGAGAUAAGAGACUGAACUCUACCACUCUAAAGAAGUGUCCUGUCUUUUUCUGGGAGUGAAUCCACAAGCAAUUCUGCCAUUUUUGCUUCACCAACCAUGUGACAAGAGGGAAAGAUGAGAAAAGGAAGCGAUUUGAGAGGCUCUGGAACAGGGCCAGGGUCUGCCAUCAUAGCUCUACCACUCUUAUUUUUCUCACCACCGCUGCUCGGCUAGAGACACAUCUGAGAGCAACAAGGCACUAAUUACAACCCAAUGAUCAGAGGCUUGCUGUGACAUCUUGUCAACUGACCUCCCUUCAGCUCCUGCUGUCACCGGCUGCAUCCACAACGCUGGGGGAGUGGGGACCGUGCUCAGAGGCCUGAUCAAACAUGCAGCAUGCUUCCUGUGUUGUUGUUGUUGCAGAAUGAGUCAGCAAGAUGCAAUUGACAAGGAAUGUGAGGGAGAAAAACGGUAGAGGAGAACCAAGGAGUCGCAGCACCCCCUUCAUGCCAGAGGGUGCAGCAGCACUGGUGCAGAAGAAGUGAACUGCUGAAGACCCCACUGUUUAACAAACAUUCCUACUGCGAAGAGAAAUUAAUAAUUCAAAGCCACGGACCAAGGCAGCCUCAUUUUAGUGCACUACCAAAGCUUGGUCAUCAGUGCGAUGCUGAUUUAUACUGCCCAGUCUUUCUCAAGUUCAGUUCAGAUUGAUGAAAUUAAUCCAGUUUGCAGGACGCCUUUACUGCAG